rnacentral:rRNA from 1 species
GACGAACGCUGGCGGCGUGCUUAACACAUGCAAGUCGAACGGAAAGGCCUCUUUCGGGGGGUACUCGAGUGGCGAACGGGUGAGUAGCACGUGAGUAACCUGCCCUUGACUUUGGGAUAACUUCAGUAAACUGGGGCUAAUACCGGAUAGGAGCUCCUGCUGCAUGGUGGGGGUUGGAAAGUUUCGGCGGUUGGGGAUGGACUCGCGGCUUAUCAGCUUGUUGGUGGGGUAGUGGCUUACCAAGGCUUUGACGGGUAGCCGGCCUGAGAGGGUGACCGGCCACAGUGGGACUGAGAUACGGCCCAGACUCCUACGGGAGGCAGCAGUGGGGAAUAUUGAACAAUGGGUGGAAGCCUGAUGCAGCAACGCCGUGUGCGGGAUGACGGCCUUCGGGUUGUAAAACGCUUUCGCUCAUGACGAAGCUUUGUGUGACGGUAGUGGGUAAAGAAGCACCGGCUAACUACGUG